ensembl:lncRNA
GUGAGUCAAUAGGAAAAUGAGUUCAGUGUGGAACUGGCCCAGGAUAGAAAAGCCACAAUGACUCCAUUAUUGUCUACUAAAGAACAGUAAGAAGAUAUUGGAUCCCAUCUACCUGCUGAAAUCUCCCAAGGUGAAAAAUGAGACUAUUCUUUUCUGAAACAUCUGGAUACUUUAAUUUAAAAGACUAAAGAGGAAUAAGAAACAGAGCCUGUCCUCAAGAGGUGGAAAUGAAGCAACCAGAGAAAUGAGCACAGCAAGAGAUUUAAAAUAAAAUUCGACUGUAUUGGAGGCCCCUGAAGUGUCAUGGCCCUGCUCACUGUGCCUAGUGGAUCAGUCCACAGAAAAUCUAUUUAUAGAAUGAAGCUUGACGAAACCUUGAGAGCAUCUAUUCUACCUUGGACUUAUUGGUGAAGAAACUGAGCCCCACAGAAUUUAACCUACUUUAAACUGAAAUCUGAAAAGCAGAACAAUUGUUGAAUUUGAUCAUUGUUCUUUAUGAUACUGAACACUAGUUUUUUAUGGAAAGAGGGAAAUGGGACAGGGAAGAAUCUUGGAGAUGAGGAAGAGGGGGAGAAAAGAGGGGAAAGGGAUUGCAAAUGAUCGACAUGUGUUAUGUUAUACACAGGUACGAACUCCCCAAAAUGAACAUCAGUAUAUACGAAAAGAGAUCAAAGGGGGUAAGCAUGCGCCAGAAUCACAUAACCACACGUUUUCAAAAUACAGGUUUCUGCCUAUAAAAAGUAAAGAACUUUUAUAAUUGGAGCAUGUUUGUAAAAGGC